UACGUAGGGGGCAAGCGUUGUCCGGAUUUAUUGGGCGUAAAGCGCUCGCAGGUGGUUCGUCGCGUCGUGCGUGAAAGACCCCGGCUCAACUGGGGAGGGUCGUGCGAUACGGGCGAACUGGAGGCCAGUAGGGGGAUGCGGAAUUCCGGGUGUAGUGGUGGAAUGCGUAGAGAUGUGGAGGAAUACCGAUGGCGAAGGCAGCCCCCUGGGCCAAUACUGACGCUCAUGCACGAAAGCGUGGGGAGCAAACAGG
rnacentral:rRNA from 1 species